rnacentral:rRNA from 1 species
GAGGGUUUGAUCCUGGCUCAGGAUGAACGCUGGCGGCGUGCCUAAUACAUGCAAGUCGAGCGAACGGACGAGAAGCUUGCUUCUCUGAUGUUAGCGGCGGACGGGUGAGUAACACGUGGAUAACCUACCUAUAAGACUGGGAUAACUUCGGGAAACCGGAGCUAAUACCGGAUAAUAUUUUGAACCGCAUGGUUCAAAAGUGAAAGACGGUCUUGCUGUCACUUAUAGAUGGAUCCGCGCUGCAUUAGCUAGUUGGUAAGGUAACGGCUUACCAAGGCAACGAUGCAUAGCCGACCUGAGAGGGUGAUCGGCCACACUGGAACUGAGACACGGUCCAGACUCCUACGGGAGGCAGCAGUAGGGAAUCUUCCGCAAUGGGCGAAAGCCUGACGGAGCAACGCCGCGUGAGUGAUGAAGGUCUUCGGAUCGUAAAACUCUGUUAUUAGGGAAGAACAUAUGUGUAAGUAACUGUGCACAUCUUGACGGUACCUAAUCAGAAAGCCACGGCUAACUACGUGCCAGCAGCCGCGGUAAUACGUAGGUGGCAAGCGUUAUCCGGAAUUAUUGGGCGUAAAGCGCGCGUAGGCGGUUUUUUAAGUCUGAUGUGAAAGCCCACGGCUCAACCGUGGAGGGUCAUUGGAAACUGGAAAACUUGAGUGCAGAAGAGGAAAGUGGAAUUCCAUGUGUAGCGGUGAAAUGCGCAGAGAUAUGGAGGAACACCAGUGGCGAAGGCGACUUUCUGGUCUGUAACUGACGCUGAUGUGCGAAAGCGUGGGGAUCAAACAGGAUUAGAUACCCUGGUAGUCCACGCCGUAAACGAUGAGUGCUAAGUGUUAGGGGGGUUCCGCCCCUUAGUGCUGCAGCUAACGCAUUAAGCACUCCGCCUGGGGAGU